UGGGUUUAUGUUCUAGCUUGAAUGUGUAGAAAUAAUUUGUUGUUGCUGGAAUGCAGCCGUUCAGCAGAUUAACUGAUAAUCCAUCUAGAGAAAAGUGGCCAAACCUGCUGAGAACAAUACUGUGUGUGUGUGUUUACUUCUAAUGCUAUAGAGACAUGAAAUGAUUGGUUUGUUUCUGGUGCAUCCUUGUCCAAACGUUCAUGUCCUUUCGUUGAGUCCUGCUCUGAAACAUUCUCCUGUGGUUAAUGUUCUCUAAUGACGCCAUCCUGAACACGGGGUCAAAGUUUAAAGUCCAGCAGCCAAACACGAGCUGAGGCCAAAAUAUUGCAGUCCUGCCUCUGGCGUCGAUGGAGCAGGUCACAGCCUUUUAACUGUAAAACACAGCGGGGCUUUAACUUCCAGCUGCUGGGGACGAACGCAGCUCAGAGUCUGGAUGUGGCAGGAGGCCAGGCCAAAGCCUAAAGUUCCGUUUGCUCUGGUUCUAGUGUCGGUGUCGUGGUUCAGACUGAACGAUGCUCAGUGACGGACACCAGGGCGCCGCCGCCGACCAGGACCCUGCGCAGGACGAGCGGAGCGGCCCAGCUCUGCACCUCCUGCUGAAGCAGAACCAGAACCCAGAGCCGGCCAAGUUCAGACGGCACCUGGAGCCUGCAAAGAAGAGCGUGUGCGUGAGGACGAACAGCAACGGCUUCCGUCCGUGUUUCUGAGUCACCAACAGCUGACGGCCGACAGCUUCUCUUCGUCGUCACAGAUUCAGUGAAACAGAAUAAGAAGCGCGGAGUAUUUUUACUCCAGACUGGAUCCCUGAGACCAGAUGAAUACUCAUCGCCUUCUUAUCAGAUGGGUUCUGGUUCUGGUUCAGAUUACAUAGAAACAUUAGAGCAACAUUUACAAGUGUUUUUCUAUGUUUCUGCCACUAGAGGUCACUAAACUCAUGUUCACAGACCAGGAGCCUGUGGGGGGUGCAGGUACUGGGUGAACUGGGACAAACCGUCCGUUCAUACUUCUGUCCACUAAAACAUGGUAUGAGCUGGUGACAAACUCUACGAAAUGUUUAAUACGUUUGAUUUUGUUAAAUAACAGAAUGGAAACGUAAACUAGUCAUUUCCGUUGUUAUAUUCAAACUUCCUUGUGUUCUGCCGUUUACCUUCAUGUUGGGUCGCGUUUUUUCUGCUGUUUGUGUGUUUUGGUUUAUUAUGAAACUAAUGAAAGUCCGACUGUAAUAAACUGACUCCUCUCCUGAAA